GUACACUCCUGCGGGAGGCAGCAGUAGGGAAUCUUCGGCAAUGGGGGCAACCCUGACCGAGCAACGCCGCGUGAGUGAAGAAGGUUUUCGGAUCGUAAAGCUCUGUUGUAAGUCAAGAACGAGUGUGAGAGUGGAAAGUUCACACUGUGACGGUAGCUUACCAGAAAGGGACGGCUAACUACGUGCCAGCAGCCGCGGUAAUACGUAGGUCCCGAGCGUUGUCCGGAUUUAUUGGGCGUAAAGCGAGCGCAGGCGGUUUGAUAAGUCUGAAGUUAAAGGCUGUGGCUCAACCAUAGUUCGCUUUGGAAACUGUCAAACUUGAGUGCAGAAGGGGAGAGUGGAAUUCCAUGUGUAGCGGUGAAAUGCGUAGAUAUAUGGAGGAACACCGGUGGCGAAAGCGGCUCUCUGGUCUGUAACUGACGCUGAGGCUCGAAAGCGUGGGGAGCGAACAGGAUUAGAAACCCCUGUAGUCCCAUGAU
rnacentral:rRNA from 1 species